AGAAACUAUGCUUAAUUAAGCCCUUCUAUUAAGCAGACAGUAGUGCAAGCAGGUGAAAAAUCAGAAAACACUUUAGAGGUGAUAUGUGAAGAGGCUGCACUUUAGUAUCCAAUACCCUGGCUGCUUAGGUUGAAUAGAGCCUAAUAGUUUUCUAAAAUUAAGGUAUUAAUCUCAGUGUUCAGCUGCCUGAUCAAUUUACUAGAUUUCAGGUGACCUGUAACUGCCGGGAACAUGUUCUGUUUGUAGGAAACUCAAGGUUAUUUUGACUAAAUUGCUUGGAUAUUUAAAAAGCAUUCUCCUUGGUUUUCAUGAUGGAAGAGCUGUUGCAGUGCAAUGAAAUGCUUGGCUGACUCAGGAUAACUCAGACAUCUGAAUCUUGAAACAUCACUAAAGAAGUAUUGAAAUAAGUAUUUCAGUAAAAAUCAUUCUGAUAAAAAUGGUGUUCAUUCAAAAUGAACAAAAAAGCAUGAUACAUUCAUUCUGUUUUUUUAGGUGGAACUUAGCUGUGCAACUAUCUUUAUGACCAAGCCAGCAAACUCUCCACUGACAAUGUCUAAUGGGACAGGAAGUGAUUUAUAAAGCCUGCACUACAAGAGGAACAAGGAAAGGAUUUUAGUGAAGGUACUUCCCGAUCCUGAAAAAGUCAGGGGGCUUCAAGCCCAUCUUGGACCUCAGAACAUCUCACAACUUUGUGGUAAAAGAAAAAUUUAAAAUAGCGCCUUUGGACUUAAUCCUUUUAUCCUUAAUUGGAGAGUAGUUAUGUGCUGCAGAUUAGGAUAUGUGUGCCACUAUAAUCCAUCUAAAUCAUAGGAAGUAUGUGUAUCUGGCAUAUGUAGUAGGUGCAUAACAUUUAAAAGUCUUGUCUUAGGUUGAUGUUGACUUCUUCGUGUUCUCAAAAUAUACAGUUCUUGCUGUGCUGUUGUCUGUGUUUUUUGUGAAUAUUGUUUUCUUGAGGGUGUUCCAUGGUUUGUUCUUGAGAAAGCCACAAAAAAGGUCCUGUUUCCUGUGAGAGUGGAGGGAUGGAUUAUGUUCCUAUUGUCUGCCUAAUUCUGCGCCUUUUGCAUGAGCAAUGGAUAUUAUAAAGAUUUCUCUGUAGAGUUAUAAAGGAGAGAAUUCAUAGGAAUGCAUGUGUGUGAGUUGUCUCACCUUUGUUAGUGAGUCUGAAGUUCAGGUUUGGGGUUGUCAUUAAGACGGGUAAUCCUGCAGUGAUUCUGAAAUGUCAAUCUAAGAUUAUGGAACUUUUUUUAUAAGCACAGAAUCACUGUUUUUGUUUAUUUGUAUGUUAACCAGAACUGUCAGACUUUACUGCUCUUAGAAAUAAUAUGUAAUUUUAGCAUAGCUCUAUUUCUAAACUACACAUUUCUUUUCAAAUGCUGUUAUAAUUAUGGCAUUAUAUUGCAUUAGUUGCAACUCUAUUGAAGUAGGUUCUUGUGAAUUUACUUAUUUAUUGAGAGUAUCUCUUUAUUUCUUGAUGUGACCAGUUUGAUAGUAUGAUGAAAAGCUGAUCCCUGGAUAACAGAUUCUGUUUUCACCUUUUACACCUAACGAAAGCAACACAAAAUUAUGUUGUGUGCUGGUAAUUUGAGGUUAAGAUUACCAUCCUACUAACGCUUAUGCAGGGUAUUAUUCAUAAACUGCAAAAGAUGUCUUAUUUAAGAGGAGGGAAAAUCCUCCUAUUUCUUCAUAUAUGGUAAUAAUUUUAUUAUCUAUAUUCAAGAUUAAUAUUCUACUAUAGAAUGAACAGUUUAAUUGGAUCAUAAUUUGCUGCUUUGAUGUAAAUAGUUUUUGGUUUUUCUUGUUUACGUGUAUGACAGUAUUGAUGAAUUUAUAAGAAACUUCUCUGGAUGUGAUAUAGAGGAACGUAUUAACAUAAUUUAUUUAUAUAUUUUUAGGUAAACUGAUAAAUCUCCUUAGAUUUUAUAUAGUCAAUUAAAAUCUAGUCAAUUUAAUCUAGUCAAUAACCUUGGGGGAACGUACUGGAAUCUUCUUUUGGGGAAGAACCUGUUUUUCUCUGACUUAAUGUAAAACUGUUUAUUUAACUUGAUUUUUAAUAAACUACCCAUAUUCCUACCACCCCAGAUUUUCUGGUUACAUCUGGCACUAUAUCUGAGAGCAUAGAUCCUAAUCAUAAACAAAAGACUUCUCAAUUCAAUCAAAUGUCUAAGAUUGUGUAGUUGUGAAUGCAAUUGGUUUCCGAAUCUACUGUAUCUAAGAGGAGAUAUGUUUAAUCUCUAGAAAUUAUUAAAACUAUUUUGAUAUAAUUGUGCUGAUGCAGUUUAAGCACAAUUUCACUGUAGUUUCAUAUGUUGCUUUGACCUUAACUUUGUGUUACCUUCACUCAGUUAAUAGACAGACUUGCUGAUUGCCUAGCUGUUUUCUAAGUAUUCAUUGAUUAAUGUUCAUUGGUAAAUGUUUGAUAUCACAUAUUAUUCAAAUUAUAUCCAUUGGUAAUCUGAAUAGAGUGGAAUUCUUUUGUGCAAAGUGAGGCCAAAAUACAAGUAAAGAAUUCUUUGGGUAAGAUACUAAACUCACAAUUUAUUUUCUUUUCUAUCUGUCAUGCUAACAGGGUGGAACGUAAAUAGAUUAUAAAAGUUGAUGUCAUACUGGCAACAACCACUCUAUAUAGGAUUAGUAUUUAAAACUAUCUUGGUAAACUGGAGACAGUAUUUCAUAACCCAAGAGGCAGGCAAGUGGAAAUAUUUUACAUCACAUGGAAAAAUAAGGUGUGGGCUGACCAAAUGAACAUUAGUGAAGCAGAAGAAGACUAGAUGUCACAGAAGAUGCAAUUGAGAGUUACUUGUAUGAUGUCA